ACUACCUCUAAUAUAUGCCAUAUAUAAAGGCCCUUAUAACUUAAAAACCCUACCUAUCUCAUUUCUGCUCUCUUUUGCCCGCCGCUCUCUCCCUCUCUUCCCAUUCUUGUCUUUAUCAAAUUAAACCCUAAUUUUCUAAUUGCUUUUGUCAAUCUCUUUAACUAUUUAUUAUCUUUCAAUUACAACACAUAAUCACACAAUUCUUUUAACAAACGAGUACCAAAUUCGACGGAAGGCUAUCAUUUUACUUCUCAGAUCUGUUAAUAUACUUUAAAAAUGGAGGUUUGCUUAAAAGAUCUACAUUCCUAAACAAGAUCAAGCUGCUGAAGAUCCUCAUAUUUGUUGUUACUUCAUUUGAAAUUGUAACUGUAACAAGAUCAAGCUGCUGGAGAUCCUCAUAUUUGUUGUUACUUCAUUUUUUUGUUCUUGAUUUUGUUAACUGUAACUAUUUUAGAUUUUGUAAUUUGUUUGUAUUAUUAGCUCUAACUAUUUUUAGAUUUAAAAUUGUAAUUUUAUUUUAUGUGACUAUUCUGAUUGUAAUGUUCUUCAUCUAUAAAUUUCUUUUUUUGAUAAA